AGUUGUGCUGUCAUAUUUGUCAUCUUAACAUUCACUGCUGAAUAACUACUUACAUUCAAUUUAUAAUAGGCUGAAAUUUUAGAGUGUUUUGUUGUCCUAUGGUAGCUACAUUAAAGUGUACUACACUCACUUUAUUUACAAAAAUCUGUCUUAUUGUAAUAAAUAUGUACUUUCUCAAAAACAAAAUUCAGCCAUUGCAGAUUGAUUGCCCUCCCUUUUCAGUCACCACACAGCCCACAUUAUUGUGUUUGGUUUGAACCACAUACAGUCUAUGGUUUGAACCUGAUGCUGGAAAUUGAAGGGCGGACUCCCAAUAUGAAACCUACUUCACUCGGGCGGAUCGCUAACAUUCUAGGCUAGGAUCGCUGCACCUGAGCAUGUCUCCGGCCGCUGCACGUCAGAAAUGAAUGAAAUGCUAAGAUAUAGGCCAACUGUAUAAAACAAAAGAAGAAGUUGUCUUACACCCCCUUAAAAUGAAGAAGGCCUGGAUUCAACAUCCUCCAUUUCCAUUUCCAAGUUUUGAGGCUGCGGUGCAAUAAACGAAAAGAAAAACAGGAAGAAAACACAACACAAUGCUGCCAAAAACGAUUUUCCCGCCAUGCUCUGUGUCAGAGGACUUAGUAUUUGGAUGUAAUGAUAUGAAAUAA